rnacentral:tRNA from 1 species
GCUCUUGUAGUUCAAUGGAUAGAACGGGGGUUUCCUAAACCCUAAAUAGAGGUUCGAUUCCUCUCAAGAGCA